rnacentral:tRNA from 1 species
GACGGUUUGGCCGAGUGGUCUAAGGCGCCAGAUUUAGGCUCUGGUCCGAAAGUGGCGUGGGUUCAAAUCCCACAGCCGUUC